ACUCUGGUUUCAGCUCAGGGAUACACACAGUGGACUUUUGGCCUCCAGCACUAUGAACUGAGCUCAGUCCAUGGGGUUUACACAGCAAGCAUUUUACCAACGGAUCCAUGUGGCUUGUGCCAAGUCCCCAUCAACACUGCUGAGUUGCUGUAAUACUCAAACCAGUUCAGAGCCUCAUUUCUUUUGCUUCAUUAUCCUGGAAAAUGCCUGUCAUGUGAGGCCCUGAAGCAUCUGCGAGAUCUGUCAAGCUAUCCCAGAACUGAAGAGGAUGUUCACCAUGGCCUUCCAUGUUCCUGCUCUUACUGUGUUAUGAAUCAAACCUGCUACCUGGAGAAAGCUGCCAAUCAAAUAUGAUGACAUCAACAAGCCCACGUGUGGUAGAACUGAGAGGUAGGACAGAAAGUGAUUCAUUUACGAUUGUUCCACGGCUACAGGAAAACCUCAGAAAGAGAUUGCCUUUCCUUUCCUGUCUUCUGAUAUGUGAGCUAAGUCAGCAACACCAGUGACAACAGCCUGACCUUGGACCUUUAGAACAGUGAGUAGUUGACGUCUGUGCUUUAUAAACCACACACACAUAGUAGAACAAAUAGACUAAAACAAUAUUGUGUUUCAUAUAUCCAGUAAUGCCUCUUUAGAUGUUUUAUCCACAAGAUCCCUGGCAUGUUGGCUUUAACUCAGAUGCCACCAUUCCUCUAUAUCUUUUCUUUUACUUACACACACACACACACACACACACACACACACACACACACAC